AAAUUGAAGAGUUUGAUCAUGGCUCAGAUUGAACGCUGGCGGCAGGCCUAACACAUGCAAGUCGAACGGUAACAGGAAGCGCUUGCUGCUUCGCUGACGAGUGGCGGACGGGUGAGUAAUGUCUGGGAAACUGCCUGAUGGAGGGGGGUAACUACUGGAAACGGUAGCUAAUACCGCAUAACGUCGCAAGACCAAAGAGGGGGACCUUCGGGCCUCUUGCCAUCGGAUGUGCCCAGAUGGGAUUAGCUUGUUGGUGGGGUAACGGCUCACCAAGGCGACGAUCCCUAGCUGGUCUGAGAGGAUGACCAGCCACACUGGAACUGAGACACGGUCCAGACUCCUACGGGAGGCAGCAGUGGGGAAUAUUGCACAAUGGGCGCAAGCCUGAUGCAGCCAUGCCGCGUGUAUGAAGAAGGCCUUCGGGUUGUAAAGUACUUUCAGCGGGGAGGAAGGGAGUAAAGUUAAUACCUUUGCUCAUUGACGUUACCCGCAGAAGAAGCACCGGCUAACUCCGUGCCAGCAGCCGCGGUAAUACGGAG
rnacentral:rRNA from 1 species